rnacentral:rRNA from 1 species
GACCAAGGUUUCCGUAGGUGAACCUGCGGAAGGAUCMUU